ACUUCCGGGGGCGGCGCGAACGGCAAUGGCGGUCCUCUUCUGAACGGGAGAGGAGGCUCCACAGACAACGGGUCGUCCGCUACGGCGAAGCGGAGACCCACAUCGGAAAACCCCAGGCAGCAAGAGCUUGGGGUCUUGGGGCUCGGUGGGCGCCUUGAGCGACCCUCCAAACGCGAAAGGAACCCCGUAAGGGGCUCCGGAGCGUGGAGGGGGGUUGCGGCGCUGAGAGCUGCUUCACAGUCUGUGGAGCGAAGCCGCGCUGCUGCUGCCGGUGAGCGCUGAUCCCUUUUCCUGUCAAAAUACGGAUUCGGAUGAAAAGCAACCUAUUCGUGAGUAAAGACUGAAUCACUUGAAAUUAGAGACUUUAAACGAAAAAUCUUAAUUGGCUUGAAGAGACGGAGAGACGUGGAAACAGGAAGUCCGUCUUUCGCAGCCAUUGAACUUGAAAAAAGCAACUAGCUGGAGGAGUGGAGGCUGAAAGAAAGAGAUUUUAAACUUUACAGAUCUAAGCAUCUACUGAACUUGCAAUUUAAAGUAAAGACUUUAAGUUAAAGAUUUGGAAUUAUUACUUGCACUUGACUUUCCUCCUUUUAUUGGAUUACAAAUUAGAAGGUGAAACCCAGAGUCAGGAGCUGCCUGAGCAUUGAGAGAUUGAGCUGUCAGUAUUGCAGAUUUGGAUACUGUAUAUUGGAACUUGCAACAAUCUGAGGGUAUUGAGACCUUUUAAAUUUGAAACAUUCUUUUUCGAGACAAAUAAGCACUGUCUGUAACAAAGUGACCAUUUAUAAACUCUGCUAAACAUUUGUAUCUGAAGGUUCUUGGAUAUUAAAUUAGACUCUGAAAGACAUUUUAAGCUCCCUCUAGAGGAUUGGAUUAAAACAGUGACUUUACAUGUAUAUUUACUUUUGAUUCCCUUGUUGUUUGCUGCUCUGGGCCUUUCCACUCCCAUGGGAAAAACUCAGUGUGACCUUGACCGAUAGAUAACGUUGGAAUGAGUGGCACAAGAAAAAGAGGGAGAGUUAGACAAACAACUUUAACAACUCUAACCUCAGCCUCGCAGACACGUAGAUCAUCUGUACCUACUUUGCCCUCAGAAGUAGAAGUUGAAGAAGUUGCCUUGUUACAGGCAAAAGAGGGAGAGGGUGAAGCAGAGCAGUUACAAUUGGAAGAUAUGGCCUCAGGAGUAUCUGUUUCUGUUCUAGACAAAAUCUUUGAAAAAUUGGAAGCUUUGGACAAGAAAGUAGAUGUGCAAUCAGCAAAGAUUGACAAAAAUACAGAAUGUCUAAAUAAAUUAACCAUACAAGUGGUACAGAAUACACAAGCAAUUGGACAGUUAACGGAGGCCUCAGCAGAAAAUCGGAAAUUGGCUGAGGACACCAGACAAAAAUUGGAAAAUUUAGAGCAAGAGGUAAGACCACUCACUAAACAAGUUGGGGAACAUCAGAUUUAUCUUUCUAUGAUAGAACUGCGAAAUCGUGAGAAUAAUUUGAGGAUUAGAUCAUUACAAGAGGCAGAAGAAGGAAAUUUAACUGAAUUUUUGACCAAAGAAUUCUCCAAGUUCUGGAAUUUGGAAGAAAAGGACUUUAAAAUUGUGUCAGCUUUCAGACUUGGAAGAUUCAUAAAGAAGGAGAGGCCCAGAGACUGUUUGAUAACAUUGAGAUCAAAGGAGGAAAGGGAUAAGAUUUUGGGCCUACAUUACGGAAAGUCACUGGAGGUUUUGGACAGAAGAAUUGAAAUAUAUAAAGAUAUUCCAAGACAACUGCUGGAUCUUAGAGCCGCCUAUUCUGAACUUGCUAAACUACUAAGGAGCAACGCAAUUCCAUUCAGGUGGGAAUUUCCCCAAGGAAUAUCUUUUACUUUUAGAGGGAGAAAGGUCAAAGUUAGAACAUUGGAAGAGAGAGACAAAUUUUUGACUACAUACGGAGAGGACCUUCAAAAGGAAUUGAAUUACCUUCUGGGCCUGGGGCAACGCCAGCAUUAACACCAGCACCUGGGGAACCUGAAGAUUCAGAGAAGAUACCACCCCUGGAGAAAUAACCAGAUUGAUCCAGGAUGUCUCUGCAAUUGCUGAGUUGGAAUAUUAAUGGUUGUAACAUUCCGGAAAAAAGGAAGAAAAUAUUUCACAUAUUAAAAAAAGAACAAUUGGACAUUAUCUGUUUACAAGAAACACAUGUGACGAGGCUCCAUAGAAAAGUGUUAAUAAAUAAAAGAUUGGGCCAGGAAUUUGUAUCGUCGGACAAAGUUAAGAAGAGAGGCGUGGUGAUAUAUGCAAAAGAGAGCCUGUCACCUAAAUUCUUAUUUAAAGAUGAACAUGGAAGAAUCUUGGCUAUUGAGAUACAAUAUCAAGGAGAGAAACUGUUGAUAUUAGGAAUCUAUGCACCUAAUGAAGGGAAAUCGGAAUUUUACAAGAAGCUGCAGGAGACAAUGCUGGACUAUCUGGAUUACAACAACAUCAUAAUGAUGGGAGAUAUGAAUGGGGUCGUAUCAACUAACAUGGACAAGUCACAAAGUCAAAAUGUUACAAAAGACGGCAGACUACCUAAAACCUUUUUGAAAUGACUGACAAUAUGGAUUUGAUUGACAUUUGGAGGACAAAGAACCCACUAGGAAGAGAGGGAACAUUCUUUUCUGAAGCCCAACUGACCUGGACAAGAAUCGACCAAAUAUGGAUUUCUAGAGGCCUGGCACCUAAGGUCAGAAAAGUGGAAAUCUGCCCAAAGACCUGUUCCGACCAUAAUGCAGUAAAGAUGGAUAUGACACUACUACCAACUGGAUCCUUUAGAUGGAAGAUGAAUGACAAUUUGUUUAGAGACCAGGAAAUUACCAAGAAGGCCCAAAAAGUUUUGAAGGAUUACUUUGAGAUAAAUAUGAAUACUACGGUGGAAAAAAGAAUCGUCUGGGACGCAAGCAAAGCUGUAAUGAGGGGAUUCUUGAUACAACAGAAUGCAGU
rnacentral:lncRNA from 1 species